CUGACAGCCUUGGAGAUAGAUAUUCUCUUAUGUAACCUCAUAUCUGGUAGAUCAGAAGCAGCAAAGCUUCCCCCACAUUGCUCUGCCAUUCUGCCUCAAACCUGCCCGGAAGGGACUAGCUCUAGUGAAUGGGGUGGGAGUGUAGAUUAGUCUCCAUUCUCAUUAAAUCCUUGGCCUAU
rnacentral:sRNA from 1 species